UUGUGCGGCUCAUUCCGGAUAGUGACGCGUUGCAGUUCCGAUAAUGGGAGACGCUCAGUCUGCGCAACGAGGGGAAAAGAAGGAUGCAGCGGCAGAGGAGGAGAGCGGAAAAGUGGAUGAUGCUCAGGAGGAGAAUAUUGAAGAGAAGCCUCUCAAAAACACUGGGCAGAUCUCUGAGAUCAAUGGAAAAGCAGACUGCUCUACAGCAGAAGUUAAUGGUCACUGUAGGGAUGAGAUUGCUGCAGAGGCUUUCCUUUUAU